AACGAACGCUGGCGGCAGGCCUAACACAUGCAAGUCGAACGAACCCUUCGGGGUUAGUGGCGCACGGGUGCGUAACGCGUGGGAACCUGCCUUUAGGUACGGAAUAACUCAGGGAAACUUGUGCUAAUACCGUAUAAUGUCUUCGGACCAAAGAUUUAUCGCCUUUAGAUGGGCCCGCGUAGGAUUAGCUAGUUGGUAGGGUAAAGGCCUACCAAGGCGACGAUCCUUAGCUGGUCUGAGAGGAUGAUCAGCCACACUGGGACUGAGACACGGCCCAGACUCCUACGGGAGGCAGCAGUGGGGAAUAUUGGACAAUGCGCGAAAGCGUGAUCCAGCAAUGCCGCGUGAGUGAUGAAGGCCUUAGGGUUGUAAAGCUCUUUUACCCGUGCUGAUAAUGACAGUAGCGGGAGAAUAAGCUCCGGCUAACUCCGUG
rnacentral:rRNA from 1 species